UGGGGAGGCGUGGUGGGACCACGAGAGUAGCGCUGGUUGUGGUUUGUGAAAGCCUGUUCUGACGGUCUGAUCCCAGGAUGCCCUCCCCCGUGGUUAAUAUCUUACAUUGACCCUGGGUUGUGGUCAGUAAGGGUCCUUGUGGGAUUCUCUGUGCCAGCCCCCUACUGCAAUUCUCGGCCAGAAAUUCAAAGGCGCGCUUUCUCUGCGUGAGCUUCACAGUUUCCCUUUUGUAUUCAUGCACCUUCUUUUGUGAGGAGGCCUGACAUUGCAGUAGUUAUCUACCCAGCCUCCCAGAGCAAAUCGGUGACUGUGGGAAUAGGAGACAACGCAGUGUGGAGCUGGAGGAACACAGCAGGCCAGGAGCAGAGGAGCCGGAAAGUUUCGGGUCCGGACCCUUCUUCCGAAAUGGGGAGGGGGAAGGGAGCUCGGAAAUAAAUAGAGAGGAUGCUGCUUGGUCCGCUGUGUUCAUCCAGCUCUACACCUUGUUAUCUCAGAGAGGAGGGAUAGGGCUGGGGUAAAGAUCCCGAUCCGCAAUGUCAACUUUCCUGCUCAUCUGAUGCUGCCUGGCCUGCUGUGUUCCUCCAACUCCACACUGUUAUCUCUGACUCCAGCAUCUUCAGUUCUUACUAUCUCUAAUGUGGGAACAGGAGCUGGCCCACAAUUUAAAUCAUAGAUGCUGUAGACCCCAGUUCUAUUAAUCUGCCUUUGAAUCAAACUCAGCUGUGACCAUUUCCAUUAAUCUACUGUCUUCAUUAUUUUAUAAAAACACAUUCUGAUGUCUCCCCUUUUUGACAUUUGUUCACUGGCCCCAUGAUUGAGAAAAAUUUUGAAAUGUGGACCUUCACGUGAAAAGGUUGAACACCCCGAUGAAGAGGAAACUUUAUGAUUCCCCAAAAUGUUGUGGUACCGGUCCUUAAAACUGGUGAAAACAUUGGCGUUGACACAUGAUGGUGUGUGUGUGUGGAAGCGAUGCCCAUGGGAGAGAACUCGAUGGUUAUCUUAUUCAGCUGUUCAUCGUAUCAUUGAAAAAGACAAAAAAAUAGGCUGUAACAGGCAGUUGUCCUCAUUGUCAGUAGCAUUUGAGGGUAAUGGAGUGUUUCAAAGCCACGUUAUUUCUCACCGAAGGACGCUGUCAUUGUCUUCAUGUGUGUCUGCGUCAGCAGUUUCAACCCAUCCUGGCUGGUACGAAAGCUUUGCAGACUCGGUGCCUGUUCAACUAACACAGGACCUCCUGACUAAUGUGCAGCAGGUCACAGGACUGCCAUGGUGGGCAAACAUAAUUUGUACCACUCUGGCAUUGCGAGCCACUGUGACAUUCCCACUAGCUAUUUACCAGAUGUACAUUAUUGCCAA